GAUGAACGCUGGCGGCGUGCCUAACACAUGCAAGUCGAGCGGCAGCGAGGGGUGCUUGCACCCUGUCGGCGAGCGGCGGACGGCUGAGUAACGCGUGGGAACGUGCCCCAAAGUGAGGAAUAACUGCCCGAAAGGGUAGCUAAUACCGCAUAUUAUCUUCGGAUCAAAGGAUUUAUCCGCUUUGGGAGCGGCUCGCGUCGGAUUAGGUAGUUGGUGAGGUAAUGGCUCACCAAGCCGACGAUCCGUAGCUGGUCUGAGAGGAUGACCAGCCAGACUGGAACUGAGACACGGUCCAGACUCCUACGGGAGGCAGCAGUGAGGAAUCUUCCACAAUGGGCGAAAGCCUGAUGGAGCAACGCCGCGUGCAGGACGAAGGCCUUCGGGUUGUAAACUGCUUUUAUAAGUGAGGAAUAUGACGGUAACCUAUGAAUAAGGAUCGGCUAACUACGUG
rnacentral:rRNA from 1 species